rnacentral:rRNA from 1 species
AGUGAACGCUGGCGGUAGGCCUAACACAUGCAAGUCGAACGGCAGCACAGUAAGAGCUUGCUCUUACAGGUGGCGAGUGGCGGACGGGUGAGGAAUACAUCGGAAUCUACUUUUUCGUGGGGGAUAACGUAGGGAAACUUACGCUAAUACCGCAUACGACCUACGGGUGAAAGCAGGGGAUCUUCGGACCUUGCGCGAUUGAAUGAGCCGAUGUCGGAUUAGCUAGUUGGCGGGGUAAAGGCCCACCAAGGCGACGAUCCGUAGCUGGUCUGAGAGGAUGAUCAGCCACACUGGAACUGAGACACGGUCCAGACUCCUACGGGAGGCAGCAGUGGGGAAUAUUGGACAAUGGGCGCAAGCCUGAUCCAGACAUACCGCGUGGGUGAAGAAGGCCUUCGGGUUGUAAAGCCCUUUUGUUGGGAAAGAAAAGCAGCAGGUUAAUACCCCGCUGUUCUGACGGUGCCCAAAGAAUAAGCACCGGCUAACUUCGUG